UUCCGCGUUAGCUCUCCUGCUGGUAAGACGCUUUUAAUCCAUGCUGCUGCCGCUUACAUGCUUAAGAUGAAGUCGUACUUCAAAAUGCAACUACUGUGAUUUUUCAAGAUACGUUGUGCUAAAUUGCGUCAUCAUGCUUUCCACUCUGCCACCUUCGAGCCACUGUGUUCUUCUCAGUCAUCUACGCAAUAUCGUUCCUUCAAUCGUUGAUGUAAGUUGGACUCAGUGAUGGUGUACAGGUACUAAGUGUGUAAGAUAUAGGUACUCAGUCAUAGUGUGCAGGCGUAAGAUACAGGUACUCAGUUGAUGGUGCAACUCAUAAUGGAUCAAGUGGCGCAUUAUGAGCUGCACCAUCACUGAAUACAGAACACUGAAAUCUGCAACAAGUGCAACACGCAUUUCAUCAUGAGAAGCCAGCAUCAGUUAAUCCAAGGGUGUGCUGUACCUCCUAGGACAAUACAAGACCACACGUGGCAAGGCAGAUCAGAUUUACCAUUCAGCUACUUGGCUGGAAAUCAUUGUGCUUUUCGGAUCUACUGCCCACAAAUUACAGCCUUUCCAUUCAAGGACCUCUCCUUCAACAAUGAGGCAGACUUGCAGCGAGUAUUCGUGGACUUUUCCUCAUCCAUGAUCCCCAAGUUUUAUUGCCAGGGCUUUGGCAAAGGAUGUGGUAUGUUGAUGGAGAUUACUUUGAUACCUAAUGCUGAGUACCAUGCGCUAUACGUCUGUCUAUUCUAAUGAUCACGAAUGGCAAGAACUGGUUACCAUAUGUAUAAGACUACCACAACUAAAUUAUUGAAUAAAAAAUUCUAAAUUUGGGUUUCAUGAUGCCGUUAACUGCCUGUAGAAAUUUGCGAAAACUUUUCAGAAAUGUAUUACGUGUAUGAAUAACUGUUGCAUGCAUGAGUGCUUUCUGAUAUUUUUGCGAUUAUUUAUUGGUUGAUUCCACCAGCGUCCGAGUGGCAAAAACAGCUCAAAUCUGGCAGUUCCAGGGUUUGCGGUUUACCAGGUUUUGAGCCCCGGUAAACCGGCUGGCUGCAUGGACGUUUUCGUGUGUAACUUGGAUAUGAAUGUCUCCUUUUCCGCAUAAUGCCUAAUGGCGGAGCACGUUAUAAAUAAAUAAAUAUUUAUUGGUAGAGUACUCCAGAA